UGGGUUGACCUCACUUGUUGGAAUUCCAGGCUCCCUGAAGGAAGAAGAAUAAUCCCAGUUUUCUGCUCCAGUGUAACCUAGCAAAUCUGGAGAAGCCUUGUUAGUUGGCUAAAAUAGCCUAGUAUUGAUUACCAGAUCUUUCAAAUGAGUAAAUUUAUCUUUCGUCUAAGAAAAAGUCAGAGGGAGACAAAUAAAGAAGUAGGAAGACAGAUAACUCUUGGCUGAAGAACUUGGCUGAAGGCUGGAAUAGAUUUAUGGACUGGGCUUACCAUGCUGAAAUUUGAAGGACAUCAGGAGUGGAAUUGACAACAAAUUUCAAUAUGAAUUCUCCUACAUAAGGAAAUAUAUGAAACUUUAAAUUGAUGGAUUUGUCAGUAGUGAAAAUGGUUGAU
rnacentral:lncRNA from 1 species